AGAGUUUGAUCAUGGCUCAGGACGAACGCUGGCGGCGUGCUUAACACAUGCAAGUCGAACGAUGAAGCCCAGCUUGCUGGGUGGAUUAGUGGCGAACGGGUGAGUAACACGUGGGUGAUCUGCCCUGCACUUCGGGAUAAGCCUGGGAAACUGGGUCUAAUACCGGAUAGGACCUCGGGAUGCAUGUUCCGGGGUGGAAAGGUUUUUCGGUGCAGGAUGGGCCCGCGGCCUAUCAGCUUGUUGGUGGGGUAACGGCCCACCAAGGCGACGACGGGUAGCCGGCCUGAGAGGGCGACCGGCCACACUGGGACUGAGACACGGCCCAGACUCCUACGGGAGGCAGCAGUGGGGAAUAUUGCACAAUGGGCGCAAGCCUGAUGCAGCGACGCCGCGUGAGGGAUGACGGCCUUCGGGUUGUAAACCACUUUCAGUACCGACGAAGCGCGAGUGACGGUAGGUACAGAAGAAGCACCGGCCAACUACGUGCCAGCAGCCGCGGUAAUACGUAGGGUGCGAGCGUUGUCCGGAAUUACUGGGCGUAAAGAGCUCGUAGGCGGUUUGUCGCGUCGUCUGUGAAAACCCGCAGCUCAACUGCGGGCUUGCAGGCGAUACGGGCAGACUUGAGUACUGCAGGGGAGACUGGAAUUCCUGGUGUAGCGGUGAAAUGCGCAGAUAUCAGGAGGAACACCGGUGGCGAAGGCGGGUCUCUGGGCAGUAACUGACGCUGAGGAGCGAAAGCGUGGGUAGCGAACAGGAUUAGAUACCCUGGUAGUCCACGCCGUAAACGGUGGGCGCUAGGUGUGGGUUUCCUUCCACGGGAUCCGUGCCGUAGCUAACGCAUUAAGCGCCCCGCCUGGGGAGUACGGCCGCAAGGCUAAAACUCAAAGGAAUUGACGG
rnacentral:rRNA from 1 species